UCUCUGGCUGUCCAGUGGUUAGGACUUGGCACUUUCAUUGCUGUGGGCCUAGGUUCCAUUCCUAGUCAGGGAA
rnacentral:tRNA from 1 species